GGGCGGAGCGGAGCGGCGGAAGGUGAGCGGGCGGGACGGGUGCUGAGCCUCUACCGGGCUGGGAAGGCGGCAGUGCCGGCUGCGAGGAGCCGGGAGCAGGCCCGGGAGCGACUCCACUCGUCUGGGCUCGCUCUCGGCAGUGUCCGGGCCUGGGCGUCAGGUGCGGACGCCGGUGCCUGCCUUGCUCGGACUUUGGAAUCGACCCCGGACUAACGCGCCGCAGCCCGGCCUCUCCGCAGCCGGAGCCCCGCGGCGGUGCGGUGGGAUGCGCGCGCUGCCCAGCCCGGACGCGCCCCCGAUGGAGCGGCUGCUGCCCGGGCCCCCGGACGCGGCGCCGCCCGCGCGCAGGAGCGCGGUGGAGAGGCUGGCGGCCGACCGCGCCAAGUACGUGCGGGCUCUGCCGGCGACGACGGCCCGGGGCCCGGCCUCCGAGGGCAGCAGCCCCGCGGUGGGCGAAGGACAGGCGGUCGACCCGCGGCCCCCGGCCUGCGCCCCCGGCGCCGUGGCGCGCAGGGCGAUAGCGCGGAAGCCGCUGCGGCCGGACUCGCUGGUCAUGUACCGGCAGAAGUGCGAGUUCGCGCGCGGGCCGGGCGCCGACGGCCUCCAGGGCGGCCUGGCGAAGAAGCUCCUCCCGGGGCCGCGUAAGGACAGGACGCCGACGCCCCCGGAGACGUUCCCGGCGGGAGAGAAGGGCAGGGCCGCGGGCGCGGGGGUGACGCCAACGAAGCCGGGCUCUGCCGCGGCCCCCGCACGUCCCGCGCGCCCCAGCGUCCCGGCCGCUCCCCCGACGGCGCGCCCCAGCGUCCCGGCCGCUCCCCCGGCCGCACCCCUGACCUCCCCCGCGCGCCCCAGCGCCCCGGCCGCGUCGGGGACUCGCGACGUGCAGGCGGCCAGGCGCAGGGGUCUGCAGCGCUCGCAGUCGGACCUCAGCUCCCGCUACUCCAUGUCCGCUGCCGAGUUCGACACCUUCUUCCAGUUCUGCGGGCUGGAGCCCGAAGUGGUGGAGGCACUCGGGCGGGAGAACUUCUCCGCGGGGUCGGACCAGGGCGCCCUCCGGGUCCGCAGCGUUAGCGUCGCCACCUCCGAGGGCGGCUUCUCGCGGCGCAGCUGCGGCGACGAGGGGCUGCAGGAGGAGGAGCUGACGGAGCAGGUGCCCAGCGGCCCCUCGGUCGUGGAGAGGAACGCGCGCAUCAUCAAGUGGCUGUACACCUGCAGGAAGGCCGCGGAGACGCCAGCGCCACAGCGGCAGGGCCCGCGUGACCUCCGCGCCGAGGCCGGGACCCCUAGGAGUAAAGAACUCUACUGAAGAAGCUUCCAGAACUCCCGAAGGUUGGGGAUUCUGAGGAGAAGAUGGGUCCCUGGAACUUAGAAAUCAAGAAUUAGCCGAGUGACACAGCAUAAACCCCUGGAGAUGCUUCCUUGUUUGAGGUGGACCCACUCUGGCCUCCAGAGUAAACACUUUCAGGGCAUCUUUCUGACUUGUUUGCUGGGAGGCAUUUUAACAAUGUCUCAGUUUACUUAAAAAGCCAAAAGAGUGUGAAAACCAAGCCUGCCAUACUGCUUUCAGUUCUCUGAAUCCCAAGUUCUGGAACCCAAGUCGGUGUCUCUGCCCCGGGGGCUCACACCUGAUGCACACGUCUCAGCAUCCUGCGGUGUGUGCACCAGGCAUUGGUGGCUGCUUUAAUGACUCAGCAUGUUUCCAGUCCCUGGAGGGCUCCUCUGUCAUUCCCCUUCACGCCACUCCCACUGGGGGGCAGACAAGCACAAAUGCCAUGAAAAGAUGAGUGAGAGCUGAAAUACGCUGAAGUACUCUUCUUGUGCAGGACCAUUUUGGAGAGGCAGGUCCCAUCACCAGCUUUCCUGUUCCUAGCUGUGCGGAAUCUCCCGGAAGGAGCCAGGGUCUGGGCUCCGCAGCUCAGGCCCCGCCCCGCCGUGUGUCAUCCGUGGUUGGGAGGUGGCACUGGCUCAGCUCUGUGCAAAGGGCACGUUUGCCAGGAGGGGCAGCCUCCGGGUGGCUGGGAGUCAAGGGUCAGAUCCUUGUUAAUACGGAGUUGGUGUGACCAGAUGCUGAGCCGGCUCACAGCACCCGGAGUAAAGAAAUAGCCUUCAGGUCAGACCCUGUGAGAGAAAUCUGAGUCCAUGACGACGAAAAAACUUUCACCUGACAAGUCUUUGAGAGCUCUCGUUGUUUUAUCAAAAUGCCUCUCUUCACGAAGAAGAUUAUGGGAGAGAAGAAUAUGGAGGGGAGAGAAAUGAGUUUUUCAAUGGUGGUGAGGUGCCAAAGAGAGACUGUCCUUGUGGGCAUCUUUUGGGAUGGGCAGAGACCCACUCAGCAAGAUGGUAAGGCAGGAAAUGAUGUCAGAAACCCCGUGGCUCCCCAACCAAAGCCCUGGAGUCUUGAGGAAGAAGAACAAAACUGGAGGUAUUACACUCCCUGAUAUCCAACUAUACUGACAAACUCUCAAAAUCCAAACAGCCAAACACCGGUCCAAAAAGCAGACAGUGGGCCAAUGGAACAGAGCAGAGAGCCCAGAGAUAAACCACACCCACACAGUCAAUUAGUCUGAGACAGAAACAGCAGGAGCCCACAGUGGGUUAAAGACAGGCCCCUCCAUAAACAGUGUCGGGAAAACUGGAGCAGGUAUAUGUAAACGAAAUGAGGCUAAUAACUUUCUCACACUAUGCACAAAAAUAAACUCAGAAUGGAUUGAGGGACUGAGGUAUGGAGACACAGUGCAGCUGCUUGGGUUGAAACCUAAUGUGUCAGAGAAAGAAGAAUUUGAACCCAAAUCUGCCUGGUCCCAAAGGCCACUCUGUCUCUCUCUGCACAGACUGGUUUUCCAGAAGUGAAUGCCACCCAGCACAUGGAAGGAUUUACUAACCUACCAAGUGCACAGGCCGAUUCAAUGGGUCAGAACCUCCACAGAUUUGCAUAUGACUGCUCAGUGCCCCUGUGACCCCCUGCUGGAUGACCCAGGCCAGGUCAGGCUGCCUGAGGGUGCUGACGCUGCCCCAACAUCCACACCAGUAAACCUCAGAGCAGGAAAUGCUCACGUUACUUGAAAGGCUUUCAUGUUUAGGUUUCUGUAGAUAAUUUUAUAUAAAAUGACAUGUGUUUAAAAAAUGAAAAUAAAGAGAAAAUAAGAGGGGAACAAACAAGAUUUGUCAGAGGAGCCCCGAGCAGUACUGAGUAGGCUCUGGGGCAGGCUACUGAGCCGGUGAGGCCAGUGCACCUCCAGGGUGCUGGGCCCCAGGUGAGCACAGCCCCCAGGUGAGCAUGGACCCCAGGUGAGCAAAGCCCCCAGGUGAGCAAGGACCUCAGGGCUGGAGAACCUCGGACGUUCCCCAUCACCUCAGGGACAUCUGGCAGAAUACGAUCUUUCUGUGGCUCACCAUUAACUUUAGGUGAAUGGGAAGUGGCCAUGGUUAAAAAGGACAGAACAUCUUUAGAAAGUCUGAUGCAUUUGUCAAUUUGUAAUUUUUCUCAACAAUAGUUAACAAAAGGCCAAGAUGU